GCUACGGACUAAGAAAAUCCGUUGGCUUUAUAGACCAUGAGGGUUCAAGUCCCUCUACCC
rnacentral:tRNA from 1 species